rnacentral:rRNA from 1 species
AGUGAACGCUGGCGGUAGGCCUAACACAUGCAAGUCGAACGGCAGCACAGUAAGAGCUUGCUCUUACGGGUGGCGAGUGGCGGACGGGUGAGGAAUACAUCGGAAUCUACUUUUUCGUGGGGGAUAACGUAGGGAAACUUACGCUAAUACCGCAUACGACCUACGGGUGAAAGCAGUGGAUCUUCGGACCUCGCGCGAUUGAAUGAGCCGAUGUCGGAUUAGCUAGUUGGCGGGGCAAAGGCCCACCAAGGCGACGAUCCGUAGCUGGUCUGAGAGGAUGAUCAGCCACACUGGAACUGAGACACGGUCCAGACUCCUACGGGAGGCAGCAGUGGGGAAUAUUGGACAAUGGGCGCAAGCCUGAUCCAGCCAUACCGCGUGGGUGAAGAAGGCCUUCGGGUUGUAAAGCCCUUUUGUUGGGAAAGAAAAGCAGCAGGUUAAUACCCCGCUGUUCUGACGGUACCCAAAGAAUAAGCACCGGCUAACUUCGUG